UACAGGGGGUGCAAACGUUGCUCGGAAUUAUUGGGCGUAAAGCGCGCGUAGGCGGCUACUUAAGUCGGAUGUGAAAGCCCUUGGCUCAACUGAGGAAGUGCACCCGAAACUGAGUGGCUAGAGUACGAAAGAGGGUCGCGGAAUUCCCGGUGUAGAGGUGAAAUUCGUAGAUAUCAGGAGGAACACCGGUGGCGAAGGCGGGUCUCUGGGCCGAAACUGACGCUGAGGAGCGAAAGCGUGGGGAGCAAACAGG
rnacentral:rRNA from 1 species